rnacentral:lncRNA from 1 species
CUCUUGACCUGUAUGUAAGUUUUAUCUCUUUCUCGGCACAGGGCAUGCAAAGAGGAGCGGGGGUGCUGAACAGAAGCAGCUUAGGAGCCCCUUGAGCCCUGUGCCUGAGGCUUUUGUCCUGAGCUUUUGAAGUCAGGGCCCCUCAGUUGUCAUGCUUCAGUCCCCACAAUUAAGGUACCAGGAGGCAUCUUUCAUUACUGGGACAGAAACAAAUGACUCACAAGGCCAUGGGGCCUCUGAUACCAGACGAAUAAAGUAACUGAUAGGCAAAGGGCUGAAUCAUUUCCAGCCAAGUUAAUUAGAGAUAAGUCAUUUUAUUCAGGAGGCAGAUGGAAUAAUUAGAGUCGAGACUUAGGGACAGGCCUUGUGAUAAGGAAAGGAUUAAAGUUAACUGAGUAAAGGACAGAUUCACUGCUCAGUAGAGAUUCUGUGCGGUUCUUUCUCCAUGAUUAAAAAAAUCCUGAACUGUUACCAUGAGGCCUUGCGUCACGCCCCACUGGGUAGCUGGCAGGACCACUGUGUCCAGAAUAC